rnacentral:lncRNA from 1 species
CGCUCCCCAAUGACGUAACUGCCCUGCAGCUUCUAGUAGCUUUUCGCAGCGUCUCCGACCGCCGGGCGCGGUGGCGCGUGCCUGUAGUCCCAGCUACUCGGGAGGCUGAGGUGGGAGGAUCGCUUGAGCCCAGGAGUUCUGGGCUGUAGUGCGCUAUGCCGAUCGGGUGUCCGCACUAAGUUCGGCAUCAAUAUGGUGACCUCCCGGGAGCGGGGGACCACCAGGUUGCCUAAGGAGGGGUGAACCGGCCCAGGUCGGAAACGGAGCAGGUCAAAACUCCCGUGCUGAUCAGUAGUGGGAUCGCGCCUGUGAAUAGCCACUGCACUCCAGCCUGAGCAACAUAGCGAGACCCCGUCUCUUUUGCCCCCCUCCCU